rnacentral:rRNA from 1 species
GUGGUAAUUCUAGAGCUAAUACAUGCAAUGAAGCUCCGACCUUGCGGAAGGAGCGCAUUUAUUAGACCAAAACCAAUGGGGCUUUGCCUCGUAUUUUGGUGACUCUGAAUAACUUUGCUGAUCACAUGGUCCUAGCACCGGUGACAUAUCUUUCAAGUGUCUGCCCUAUCAACUUUCGAUGGUAGUUUAUGUGCCUACCAUGGUUGUAACGGGUAACGGAGAAUAAGGGUUCGACUCCGGAGAGGGAGCCUGAGAAAUGGCUACCACAUCCAAGGAAGGCAGCAGGCGCGCAAAUUACCCACUCUCAGCUCGAGGAGGUAGUGACGAAAAAUAACGAGACGGUUCUCUUUGAGGCCCGUCAUCGGAAUGGGUACAAUUUAAACCCUUUAACGAGGAUCUAUUGGAGGGCAAGUCUGGUGCCAGCAGCCGCGGUAAUUCCAGCUCCAAUAGCAUAUACCAAUUCUGCUGCUGUUAAAAAGCUCGUAGUUGGAUCUUUUCCGAGGAUGCAGUCUGUCUCAAUGGCAUGUACUGUUUUCCGAGGAUAAUUUCGCUGGUCUUCUCAUGGUGCUCUUCAUUGAGUGUCUUGGGUGGCUAGCACGUUUACUUUGAAAAAAUUAGAGUGCUCAAAACAGGCGUUACGGCCCGAAUAGUGGUGCAUGGAAUAAUGGAAUAGGAUCUCGGUUCUAUUUUGUUGGUUUUAGGAGCGCGAGAUAAUGAUUAAGAGGGACAGACGGGGGCAUUCGUAUUGCGGCGUUAGAGGUGAAAUUCUUGGAUCGCCGC